rnacentral:rRNA from 1 species
UGGGGAAUUUUCCGCAAUGGGCGAAAGCCUGACGGAGCAAUACCGCGUGAGGGACGAAGGCCUGUGGGUUGUAAACCUCUUUUGUUAGGGAAGAUAAUGACGGUACCUAACGAAUAAGCAUCGGCUAACUCCGUGCCAGCAGCCGCGGUAAGACGGAGGAUGCAAGCGUUAUCCGGAAUUAUUGGGCGUGAGGCGUACGUAGGCUGUUUCAUAAGUCUGUUGUCAAAGCCCGAGGCUCAACCUUGGAUCGGCAAUGGAAACUGUGAGACUAGAGAGAGAUAGGGGCAGGAGGAAUUCCAGGUGUAGCGGUGAAAUGCGUAGAUAUCUGGAAGAACACCAGUGGCGAAAGCGUCCUGCUGGAUCUCAACUGACGCUGAAGUACGAAAGCUAGGGGAGCGAAUGGGAUUAGAUACCCCAGUAGUCCUAGCCGUAAACGAUGGGUACUAGGUGUUGGUCGUAUCGACCCGAUCAGUGCCGUAGCUAACGCGUUAAGUACCCCGCCUGGGGAGUACGGUCGCAAGAUUGAAACUCAAAGGAAUUGACGGGGGCCCGCACAAGCGGUGGAGUAUGUGGUUUAAUUCGAUGCAACGCGAAGAACCUUACCAAGGCUUGACAUGUCGUGAAUCCUCUUGAAAGGGAGGAGUGCCUUCGGGAGCACGAACACAGGUGGUGCAUGGC